rnacentral:rRNA from 1 species
UCGGGAAUCUUGGGCAAUGGGCCGAAAGCCUGACCCAGCAACGCCGCGUGAGGGAUGAAGUCCUUCGGGAUGUAAACCUCGUAAGCAUGGGAACGAAUAAAUGACGGUACCAUGCGUAAGCCCCGGCUAACUACGUGCCAGCAGCCGCGGUAAUACGUAGGGGGCUAGCGUUGUUCGGAUUUACUGGGCGUAAAGCGCGUGUAGGCGGUACAUUAAGUCAGCUGUUAAAUUCCCGAGCUUAACUCGGGAAAGUCGGCUGAUACUGAUGUGCUAGAGUGCAGAAGAGGCAACUGGAAUUCUCGGUGUAGCCGGUGAAAUGCCGUAGAUAUCAGAGAGGAACACCGGAGGCGAAGGCGAGUUGCUGGUCUGACACUGACGCUGAGACGCGAAAGCUAGGGGAGCAAACAGGAUUAGAUACCCUGGUAGUCCUAGCCCUAAACGAUGUAUGCUUGGUGUUCGGAGUUUUAUCCUCCGAGUGCCGCAGCUAACGCAUUAAGCAUACCGCCUGGGGAGUACGGUCGCAAGACUG